UGUGCCAGCAGCCGCGGUAAUACGUAGGUGGCAAGCGUUGUCCGGAAUUAUUGGGCGUAAAGCGCGCGCAGGCGGUUAUGUAAGUCUGAUGUUAAAGCCCGGGGCUCAACCUCGGUCCGCAUUGGAAACUGCGUAACUUGAGUGCAGAAGAGGAAAGUGGUAUUCCACGUGUAGCGGUGAAAUGCGUAGAGAUGUGGAGGAACACCAGUGGCGAAGGCGACUUUCUGGUCUGUAACUGACGCUGAGGCGCGAAAGCGUGGGGAGCAAACAGGAUUAGAAACCCUUGUAGUCC
rnacentral:rRNA from 1 species